UACGAAGGGGGCUAGCGUUGCUCGGAAUCACUGGGCGUAAAGCGCACGUAGGCGGAUUGUUAAGUCAGGGGUGAAAUCCUGGAGCUCAACUCCAGAACUGCCUUUGAUACUGGCGAUCUCGAGUCCGGGAGAGGUGAGUGGAACUGCGAGUGUAGAGGUGAAAAUUCGUAGAUAUUCGCAAGAACACCAGUGGCGAAGGGCGCUCACUGGCCCGGUAUGACGCUGAGGUGCGAAAGCGUGGGG
rnacentral:rRNA from 1 species